ACCUAAUAGAUACCCUGGUAGUCCACGCCCUAAACGAUGCGAACUGGAUGUUGGGUACAUUACGGUACUCAGUGUCGAAAGCUAAACGCGUUAAGUUCGCCGCCUGGGGAGUACGGUCGCAAGACUGAAGCUCAAAGGAAUUGACGGGGGCCCGCACAAGCGGUGGAGUAUGUGGUUUAAAUUCGAUGCAACGCGAAGAACCUUACCUGGCCUUGACAUCUGUCGAAUCCUGCAGAGAUGCGGGAGUGCCGCAAGGAACGACAAGACAGGUGCUGCAUGGCUGUCGUCAGCUCGUGUCGUGAGAUGUUGGGUUAAGUCCCGCAACGAGCGCAACCCUUGUCCCUAGUUGCCAGCACAUCAUGGUGGGAACUCCAGGGAGACUGCCGGUGACAAACCGGAGGAAGGUGGGGAUGACGUCAAGUCCUCAUGGCCCUUACGGCCAGGG
rnacentral:rRNA from 1 species